ACAUGUGUGGUGUCUUGACACGAUUGCCGGCUUUCAUGGUGAAAAACUCAUUCUUUACGUGCGCGAGCAACGUGGAAUAGGGAAUGAUUAUUACCGAAGCCGGUUAGUGUAAUAGGACUCGUCGAUCGA